GAUGAACGCUGGCGCGUGCUUAACACAUGCAAGUCGAACGAUGAAAGCGGGAGCUUGCUCCUGAUGGAUUAGUGGCGAACGGGUGAGUAACACGUGAGCAAUCUGCCCCGAACUCUGGGAUAAGCGUUGGAAACGACGUCUAAUACCGGAUACGACGCGCGAAGGCAUCUUCUGCGCGUGGAAAGAACUUCGGUUCGGGAUGAGCUCGCGGCCUAUCAGCUAGUUGGUGAGGUAACGGCCCACCAAGGCGACGACGGGUAGCCGGCCUGAGAGGGUAACCGGCCACACUGGGACGGAGACACGGCCCAGACUCCUACGGGAGGCAGCAGUGGGGAAUAUUGCACAAUGGGCGCAAGCCUGAUGCAGCAACGCCGCGUGAGGGACGACGGCCUUCGGGUUGUAAACCUCUUUUAGUAGGGAAGAAGCGAAAGUGACGGUACCUGCAGAAAAAGCACCGGCUAACUACGUGCCAGCCGCCGCCGUAAUAC
rnacentral:rRNA from 1 species